AGUCGACCGGAUGACGGGAGCUUGCUCCUUGAUUCAGCGGCGGACGGGUGAGUAAUGCCUAGGAAUCUGCCUGGUAGUGGGGGACAACGUUUCGAAAGGAACGCUAAUACCGCAUACGUCCUACGGGAGAAAGCAGGGGACCUUCGGGCCUUGCGCUAUCAGAUGAGCCUAGGUCGGAUUAGCUAGUUGGUGGGGUAAUGGCUCACCAAGGCGACGAUCCGUAACUGGUCUGAGAGGAUGAUCAGUCACACUGGAACUGAGACACGGUCCAGACUCCUACGGGAGGCAGCAGUGGGGAAUAUUGGACAAUGGGCGAAAGCCUGAUCCAGCCAUGCCGCGUGUGUGAAGAAGGUCUUCGGAUUGUAAAGCACUUUAAGUUGGGAGGAAGGGCAGUAAGCGAAUACCUUGCUGUUUUGACGUUACCGACAGAAUAAGCACCGGCUAACUCUGUGCCAGCAGCCGCGGUAAUACAGAGGGUGCAAGCGUUAAUCGGAAUUACUGGGCGUAAAGCGCGCGUAGGUGGUUUGUUAAGUUGGAUGUGAAAGCCCCGGGCUCAACCUGGGAACUGCAUCCAAAACUGGCAAGCUAGAGUACGGUAGAGGGUGGUGGGAAUUUCCUGUGUAGCGGUGAAAUGCGUAGAUAUAGGAAGGAACACCAGUGGCGAAGGCGACCACCUGGACUGAUACUGACACUGAGUGCGAAAGCGUGGGGAGCAAACAGGAUUAGAUACCCUGUAGUCCACGCCGUAAACGAUGUCAACUA
rnacentral:rRNA from 2 species